AGUUUCGACACGGUGAGUCAGGCGGAUCAGGCAACCCUCUAGCAAGAGUCGGUAACGAUUUAAUAAUCGUAUAAAUCGC
rnacentral:sRNA from 1 species